GAUGAACGCUGGCGGCGUGCCUAAUACAUGCAAGUCGAGCGAACAGACGAGGAGCUUGCUCCUCUGACGUUAGCGGCGGACGGGUGAGUAACACGUGGAUAACCUACCUAUAAGACUGGGAUAACUUCGGGAAACCGGAGCUAAUACCGGAUAAUAUAUUGAACCGCAUGGUUCAAUAGUGAAAGACGGUUUUGCUGUCACUUAUAGAUGGAUCCGCGCCGCAUUAGCUAGUUGGUAAGGUAACGGCUUACCAAGGCAACGAUGCGUAGCCGACCUGAGAGGGUGAUCGGCCACACUGGAACUGAGACACGGUCCAGACUCCUACGGGAGGCAGCAGUAGGGAAUCUUCCGCAAUGGGCGAAAGCCUGACGGAGCAACGCCGCGUGAGUGAUGAAGGUCUUCGGAUCGUAAAACUCUGUUAUUAGGGAAGAACAAAUGUGUAAGUAACUAUGCACGUCUUGACGGUACCUAAUCAGAAAGCCACGGCUAACUACGUGCCAGCAGCCGCGGUA
rnacentral:rRNA from 1 species